rnacentral:rRNA from 1 species
GUAGGUGGCAAGCGUUGUCCGGAAUUAUUGGGCGUAAAGCGCGCGCAGGCGGUUCUUUAAGUCUGAUGUGAAAGCCCACGGCUCAACCGUGGAGGGUCAUUGGAAACUGGAGAACUUGAGUACAGAAGAGGAAAGCGGAAUUCCACGUGUAGCGGUGAAAUGCGUAGAGAUGUGGAGGAACACCAGUGGCGAAGGCGGCUUUCUGGUCUGUAACUGACGCUGAGGCGCGAAAGCGUGGGGGGUCAAACAGGGAUUAGAUACCCUGGUAGUCCACGCCGUAAACGAUGAGUGCUAAGUGUUAGGGGGUUUCCGCCCCCUUAGUGCUGCAGCUAACGCAUUAAGCACUCCGCCUGGGGAGUACGGCCGCAAGGCUG